CCUGGGAGUGAAUUCGGCAGCAGGACCUUCUUUCACACAGCUGGUGAAGUCAAGGUGUUGUAAUUUAGUCUUCAGAAGCAACUUAAAGACCAAAGCUCCAGAGCACAACAAAACAAUUAUAGAAUUCCUCAGUUCUGAGGGCUUUGGCAAGAUGUCCAUUUUAAAACCAUGACACAGAUGAGAAGACGUGGUAAUGGUGACCCAACACACAGGGUCAGGGACGCGAGCGGUGUGAGACCAGGUUGCAGUCUGGGCCUCCCCUCCUAUCCUUACCCCUGAACUUGUAUCUUCAUAGCCUAACCGAGUUUUGAAAGAACUGGGUAUGUGUCCCCCCACAUAAUACAGAGGAAGAUAAAUCUCCUCCUUUCUGCUGAUGACACAGUUUUAUUAUCAUGAACUAAGCUUGACCUCGAAAAAUCUAACCACAACCAGGAAGUUGAAUUAUCCCAGACCUAAAGUUGUUGUCUUUGCAGACACUCUCCAAAACUCGAUGGAUCGUCACUCAAGAAGUUCAUGAGCAAGUCAGCGUGUCAAGCUCCGUUGUCCUGGUGAGUGCCUCGGCAUCUGUCGCUGCUCCAACACACAGAAGAGAAAGGAUCUCGAAGAUCUUCCUGGACCUCCAGGGACAACAUGUGGUAACACUUUCUCUGAAGACGUUUCAGGCCUUAAUUGUCUCUGCCAGACUCUAUAGAGCAUGGAAAUCUGAGCUCUGGUUAAAGAUCAGAUUUAAAGUUAGACCAGUUCCAAAGAUACUUCCUGAAGGAAAUCUUAGACGUUUUCUGUGAGGAUCUUCCUCAAGUUGAGGACAGCAGCCUCAUCCUCCUCAGCACUAAGAGGAGCGGAUCAGCUGCCACCGCAGCCUUGCGACUCCCAAGUGCAUGGGCUUGCUCUCCAUCAGCAUCUGGGACAGCAGCAGCUCUCAGGCCCUUCGUGGGAGCUCCCAACAGGUCCCAGCUAGAGGAGUUCAGGGCGGAGACAACAGUUCUCUCCAGCUGAACCCGGGGCACUUGGCCGACAGCAAUUCAGUCCAUCGAGGCCGUAAACCCAAACUCCAACAGCCUCGCCCCUAUUCUAUCCCACCAUCACCUCCACUGACGCCCACUGCUGGGACCGCACCGAGCAAUGGGGACAGUUACCAGCUCUCUAGAAGCCAAGCCAUCCUAGGAUGGAGCUGCAGCAUCCUUGGAGGCCCCAGGGACCCUCGACCCAACUAUAGAGAAAACGCCUUUCUCAGCAGACCUCAUCUUGAACUGCCUUCAUCAGCACCGAACACAGAGAUGCUUCGUGCGUGCUGUUUGUUUUCUCCCACACAGCAUACUUAUUGAAACCAGCAUUUAUUCUUCUGAUGGGAUCCUGAUAGACAGAAGGGAACUGGGGAGACGAUGAAACAAGUCUGAGUAAGAAAAGCUGCAGGGCCGCCUGACGCGCUGACCAUACAUUCAUUCUCUGCAUGGUUUAUUCCAUAGACGGAGUCUGGAACAAAUCACGACAUUUAAUGCACAAUUAUGGUUUCCAAUAAAUUGUUCCCAGAUGGCUCA
rnacentral:lncRNA from 1 species